UACGUAGGGUGCAAGCGUUGUCCGGAAUUAUUGGGCGUAAAGAGCUCGUAGGCGGUCUGUUGCGUCAGGAGUGAAAACUCGGGGCUUAACCCCGAGCCUGCUUCUGAUACGGGCAGACUAGAGGUAUGCAGGGGAGAACGGAAUUCCUGGUGUAGCGGUGAAAUGCGCAGAUAUCAGGAGGAACACCGAUGGCGAAGGCGGGUCUCUGGGCAGUAACUGACGCUGAGGAGCGAAAGCGUGGGGAGCGAACAGG
rnacentral:rRNA from 1 species